UGGACAAUACGCCCCCAUUAAAUUUAUAGAAUUAUUACGCGAAGUUUGGAUACUAAUGGCUAAAUUCUGUAUUUUAUCAUUACUGUUAGUGGAAAUUACUGUACACUUAAUAGAAUUUUUACAAAGAAUGGCAACACCACCAUAACCCGUGUCACUGUCUCUACGAAAUAUUUGAUAACCUCUAAAUCUAAUUCUGUCAGAAGAUUUCAGCCAAGUUUCAUUUAAAACACAAAUAUCAACAUCUAAAUUAACUAAAAGUUGUGAUAAAAUAGGAAUUUUGGGUUUUAAACUCUGACAAAUCUUAGCUACAGCAACGUGUUCUCCUUUGCAAUUGAUACACAAAGGGAGUAUGCAUAGACCAUAACUUACUUGCUCAGGUAGAACAUUACCAGCAAAGGUGACUGAGACGGUCUGCAAAGGGACGACACCUUCAGGGGUCCUCUUGGUGAAUCUUCUCACAGCCAAGAUCUCCUGCGAACUGAUCAAUUUGUCAAAAAGAUGCCGGUUGCUCAAUUCAGUUGGAAUGAAUUUGAUUACUCCUGUUCGCUCUGAGUUGGAGGCAGGAAUGAAUGCCUUGAUUUCGUGAGAUGAUAGAAAGGCCGAAUUAGACAGUAAAGAGUUGGCGUUUUUCGGGUUAUCGAAAUAUACAGCAUACCGCAAUGCA